rnacentral:rRNA from 1 species
CCUGCGGAAGGAUCAUUACCGAGUGCGGGCCCUCUGGGUCCAACCUCCCAUCCGUGUCUAUCUGUACCCUGUUGCUUCGGCGUGGCCACGGCCCGCCGGAGACUAACAUUUGAACGCUGUCUGAAGUUUGCAGUCUGAGUUUUUAGUUAAACAAUCGUUAAAACUUUCAACAACGGAUCUCUUGGUUCCGGCAUCGAUGAAGAACGCAGCGAAAUGCGAUAAUUAAUGUGAAUUGCAGAAUUCAGUGAAUCAUCGAGUCUUUGAACGCACAUUGCGCCCCCUGGUAUUCCGGGGGGCAUGCCUGUCCGAGCGUCAUUGCUGCCCUCAAGCACGGCUUGUGUGUUGGGCUUCCGUCCCUGGCAACGGGGACGGGCCCAAAAGGCAGUGGCGGCACCAUGUCUGGUCCUCGAGCGUAUGGGGCUUUGUCACCCGCUCCCGUAGGUCCAGCUGGCAGCUAGCCUCGCAACCAAUCUUUUUAACCAGGUUGACCUCGGAUCAGGUAGGGAUACCCGCUGAACUUAAGCAUAUCAAUAAGGCCGGAGGAA